CCUACGGGAGGCAGCAGUGAGGAAUAUUGGUCAAUGGACGAGAGUCUGAACCAGCCAAGUCGCGUGAAGGAUGACUGCCCUAUGGGUUGUAAACUUCUUUUAUAAAGGAAUAAAACGAGGCACGUGUGCCUUUUUGCAUGUACUUUAUGAAUAAGGAUCGGCUAACUCCGUGCCAGCAGCCGCGGUAAUACGGAGGAUCCGAGCGUUAUCCGGAUUUAUUGGGUUUAAAGGGAGCGUAGAUGGGUUGUUAAGUCAGUUGUGAAAGGUUGCGGCUCAACCGUAAAAUUGCAAUUGAUACUGGCAGUCUUGAGUGCAGUUGAGGUAGGCGGAAUGCGUGGUGUAGCGGUGAAAUGCUUAGAUAUCACGAAGAACCCCGAUUGCGAAGGCAGCUUACUAAACUGUGACUGACGUUGAUGCACGAAAGUGUGGGUAUCAAACAGGAUUAGAUACCCCAGUAGUC
rnacentral:rRNA from 1 species